GAACGAGAUCUUUGGUUUUGCCUUUGCUGACUGCUGAUCUGAUCGUCUCAAGUCUGGUGACCUGCUGCAGAAGAUCCUCUCUCUCUAUCAUUAUAAGCAAUUCUGUCUAUCCUAUCACUCUCCCGACUCUAUCUAAUUUGACAGCCAUUCUAUCUUGUAUCCCUCUAUCCCUACUGCUCUAUCUAAUUUGACAGCCAUUCUAUCUUGUAUCCCUCUAUCUCUACUGCUCUAUCUAAUUUGACAGCCAUUCUAUCUUGUAUCCCUCUAUCCCUACUGCUCUAUCUAAUUUGACAGCCAUUCUAUCUUGUAUCCCUCUAUCUCUACUGCUCUAUCUAAUUUGACAGCCAUUCUAUCUUGUAUCCCUCUAUCCCAAGCGCUCUAUCUAAUUUCAGAAUCCAAGUUUUCAGAAAUCAAAGUUUUCAGAAUCAGUUUUCAGAAAUCCAAGUACCAGUACUUGAUCUAUCUGUUAAAGAAUUCUGAGAGAUCUCUGCUCUCACUGCUCCUUCUUUCCUGUCAUUAAACUCUCUCACAUUCAGUCAAUUUGCUGGAAAUUACAAUUAGAAAGUUGAAUAUACAGUAGUAGAAUUGCAGUACAGUAGAACUUAUAGUAGAAACUACUUAUACAGCCCUACAUUUGUAGUUUUGACUUGGCAUUACUCUUUGGAAUAAACACUGAUAGUUUGGCUUACUGGUCCAAUUACUUUGAUACAUUAUAUAAAAUAUACACCUUUUAUAAGGUUUAUUUGUAAUAAGAUAAUCUGACUAUUCUGUAAUAUAUUCAGAGUGCUAUAUUCACAUAAAUAUUAAAUUUGAUUCAAAUACA